rnacentral:rRNA from 1 species
UGGUGGGUAGUUUGACUGGGGCGGUCUCCUCCUAAAGAGUAACGGAGGAGCACGAAGGUUGGCUAAUCCUGGUCGGACAUCAGGAGGUUAGUGCAAUGGCAUAAGCCAGCUUGACUGCGAGCGUGACGGCGCGAGCAGGUGCGAAAGCAGGUCAUAGUGAUCCGGUGGUUCUGAAUGGAAGGGCCAUCGCUCAACGGAUAAAAGGUACUCCGGGGAUAACAGGCUGAUACCGCCCAAGAGUUCAUAUCGACGGCGGUGUUUGGCACCUCGAUGUCGGCUCAUCACAUCCUGGGGCUGAAGUAGGUCCCAAGGGUAUGGCUGUUCGCCAUUUAAAGUGGUACGCGAGCUGGGUUUAGAACGUCGUGAGACAGUUCGGUCCCUAUCUGCCGUGGGCGCUGGAGAACUGAGGGGGGCUGCUCCUAGUACGAGAGGACCGGAGUGGACGCAUCACUGGUGUUCGGGUUGUCAUGCCAAUGGCAUUGCCCGGUAGCUAAAUGCGGAAGAGAUAAGUGCUGAAAGCAUCUAAGCACGAAACUUGCCCCGAGAUGAGUUCUCCCUGACCC